CCUACGGGAGGCAGCAGUGGGGAAUAUUGCACAAUGGGGGAAACCCUGAUGCAGCAACGCCGCGUGAGUGAAGAAGUAUUUCGGUAUGUAAAGCUCUAUCAGCAGGGAAGAAGAUGACGGUACCUGACUAAGAAGCCCCGGCUAACUACGUGCCAGCAGCCGCGGUAAUACGUAGGGGGCAAGCGUUAUCCGGAUUUACUGGGUGUAAAGGGAGCGCAGACGGCGGUGCAAGUCUGAAGUGAAAGCCCGGGGCCCAACCCCGGGACUGCAGUGGAAACUGUGGGGCUGGAGUACUGGAGGGGCAGGCGGAAGUCCUAGUGUAGCGGUGAAAUGCGUAGAUAUUAGGAGGAACACCAGUGGCGAAGGCGGCCUACUGGACAGUAACUGACGUUGAGGCUCGAAAGCGUGGGGAGCAAACAGGAUUAGAUACCCGGGUAGUC
rnacentral:rRNA from 1 species